UAGAAAGUGGUGUAGUGGAAGCACUAGGAGUCUUGAUCUCCUGAGGAUGGGUUCGAGCCCCCUUUUUCUAA
rnacentral:tRNA from 1 species